AUUUUGGACAAUGGGGGAAACCCUGAUCCAGCCAUCCCGCGUGUAUGAUGAAGGCCUUCUGCUUGUAAAGUACUUUUGGCAGAGAAGAAAAGGUAUCUCCUAAUACGACACACUGCUGACGGUAUCUGCAGAAUAAGCACCUUCUAACCACGUUCCAGCAGCCGCGGUAAUACGUAGUGUGCAAGCGUUAAUCGGAAUUACUGGGCGUAAAGCGGGUGUAGGCGGUUCGGAAAGGAAGAUGUGAAAUCCCAGGGCUCAACCUUGGAACUGCAUUUUUAACUGCCGAGCUAGAGAAUGUCAGAGGGGGGUAGAGUACCACGUGUAGCAGUGAAAUGCGUAGAUAUGUGGAGGAAUACCGAUGGCGAAGGCAGCCCCCUGGGAUAAUACUGACGCUCAGACACGAAAGCGUGGGGAGCAAACAG
rnacentral:rRNA from 1 species